GAUGAACGCUGGCGGCGUGCCUAAUACAUGCAAGUCGAGCGAGAAGCUUGGAAAUGACGCUUCGGUUGAUUUUUCAAGCGGACAGCGGCGGACGGGUGAGUAACGCGUAGGCAACCUGCCCCUGACAGAGGGAUAGCCAUUGGAAACGAUGAUUAAAACCUCAUGACACCGUAGUAGCACAUGCUACAUCGGUCAAAGAUUUAUCGGUCAGGGAUGGGCCUGCGUCUGAUUAACUGGUUGGUGAGGUAACGGCUCACCAAGGUGACGAUCAGUAGCCGACCUGAGAGGGUGAUCGGCCACAUUGGAACUGAGACACGGUCCAAACUUCUACGGAAGGCAGCAGUAGGGAAUCUUGCACAAUGGGCGAAAGCCUGAUGCAGCAACGCCGCGUGAAGGAUGAAGGCCUUCGGGUUGUAAAUUCUGUUCUAAGGGAAGAAAGAAAUGACGGUACCUUAGGAGCGAGCCCGGCUAA
rnacentral:rRNA from 1 species